rnacentral:rRNA from 1 species
CGGUCCAAUCCAAUCCCCCGCACGCCGCAACCCUCCCUCCCUCCUCGAUCUCUCUCCCUCAGCCGCCACGAACCUAGCUCCCUUUCCUACGAUCCCGCGGUCGCUGCCGCUGCUCCAUCUGACCUCCCUCGUCAGCCGCCGCCGCCGCUGCGGCUCCUCCGUCCACCGACUCUGUCCGUGCAAGCGGCCAGUUUCCUUCCGCCCGACCUUCUCCACUGUCUCCCCAGUUCAUCAUCCGUCCCUUGCUGCUCGAGGUGCUCAUCUGCCCAGGCCGCGAGGAAGCAACGUGAGGAGGAGAGACCUCGUCUCGAGAAGCCGCGGGAGGAGGGGCUCAAGCAGAGAAGAGCAGAUGCCAGCCAGGUAGUCGGCUUGGCUCGACGCCGUCCUUCGUGUCCGGGCCGCGGCAGACCCUAGCGCCGUCCUUCAGGUGUCUUCGCGGCUGCAGGUCCGCAUGUGAGCCCCCAACCAUCUCUCUCUCCCGCACUCAUUUUCCCUCUCACGUUUAGCAUUUGAGGCUGUAAAUCUAAGCACUAGCUGUUUGUAAAAAUGCUCAAGGAGAACUGCUUAGAGGAAGGCAGUAUGUUCUACAGUUUCAGUUACAUGAUUACAUACAGCUAAAGAAAAGUUUACAUGAUUCUAUAAUUAUGGUGGAGCUGCACAGGAGGGGGAGGAGGCUGGCGACAGGGAACCGGGCCGGGAGGAGGCAAGGUUUGUGCUGUCAUGUGUUUUUCUCUUUGCAUUUUUCUCCUACUGCGCAUCUGUUCAUGGCAACAAAUUUUUGGAUAAAUAAUGAGUGCCAAGAUAUGUAUGUUGACAAAUGGAUGAGAGGUUUUCAGAGAAAGAUUUGAGCCAUACAUGCGCCAGGUUCUGAGAGUCUAUGAAUGUAAUUGGAAUAUUUUCAAUUGCAAAUCAUUCCCUAAUAUUAUGGUUAAUUAGUUAUUUCUGGUUCUUGUCCACUGACACUCAUCUGGGAUGUAGUAUGAGGAUCGGGUGCGUCAGGAAGCAGCUCUGAAUAUGGUUCCCUUAGAUGAACAUAAGGAGAAUGCGCUUAUUUCACUGGCCAAGGUUUGUGUUUCUGCCUCGGCUUUCUAUUGGUUAUAAGUCUUCUUUUCGUCCUGAUGUUCUCAAUAUUUCUAGAUAACCAUGUUUUGUUGGACUUAUUGAUAAAGUAAAUUUUCGGGUACAAGUUUGGCUCCAAGGAAAGUUAUUGUAUUUACUAAUUUUUUUUUAAUUUAACACCAUGACUAUGCCUCAAUAUUACAAUUGUCGUAAUGGUGUGGAUUGCUAUAUAAAGUUCUAUGUUUGAAGGGAUGUGUUGUCAGAAAUUCUCAUACACGAUUCUUUAGUAGGAAGAGAAUUUCAGUCCUUCAAAAGUGAAGAGGAUCAUGCCUUUCUGUUGGAUUUGGUUUUUUGGUUUAAGCAAUCAUUCAGGUUAUUGAAACACUCAUGUGCCUCUUUUCUUCAGUCAUUACUAAUGUUGAGUGUUGUGUGUCUGAUAUGAGGAAAAUGGUUGAGAGUAAUUACCGGCAGGAGGAUCGCUGGGUGGUAGCUGAGUGGGAGGGUUCAGAUUAGGGAUUACGAGUAUGAAGUAGAUGUGAUAGAUUGUAACUCUUCUUGCUUGAUUAAUUCAUCUCAAGAGGUCCACUUUAUAUAUAGAGGCCUAACAAUUAAAAAACUAAUCAUCCUUACAUGCAUACAUGCAUGCGUCACUCUGGAGCCAAAAACUAAUUACGAGUAUGCAGGUUGCAGUCCCUUGCUCUACAUAUAACUCGCUAACUCUACUAAUUCAUGUAUCAGUAUAUGCAUAUAUGUAGUCCGUUCCCAGUACAUGUGUUCGGAAGACUGGACAUUUGUACUUAUUCAAAAUUUUCUUUUCAUAAAAAGUUCCUUGGAAGAGAUUGCUAAGUUUAACGAGCAAUGUCCCUUUUACAUCUACUUACAGUGUGUUUUUCUUUUGGUUUCACCACAUUUUUAGGUUUUUACAGGUUGUGUAUAGCAUAGGAGGCAUUGAGGAUGAAACAUGAAUGUCCAUUGUUCUUGUCCGCUCCUGAUCUCAGUAGACCUGUGUGAUGUGCUCUUGAUCCUUUCUCUUUUUUCUGUUAAAUGAAUCUCUGACUGAGGAGAGCAUGUUCUUUCAUUCGGUUGCAAUCGUGAAACUUCUUUUGGGUUUUCUUAUUGUACAGUACGAACAUUCCAAAUUAUUUGAUCCUGGAAAUAAGUUGCCAAUUUUCUGUGUGCAAUGAGCUGGGAGCCGGGGUCAGCCCUCUCACCACCAGUCGAACAUACAACUUCAGCCACCAUGUCAAGUGAUAUAAAAGUGUUCUCUGUUUCAUAGAGCAACGACACGAGAUUGUGUCCCCUCUUGCUCCUGGUGCAUGUUGCUGCCCUCCUUUCCCCUCUGACUUGACUUGCUUUACAUUGUGUGAAGUAGUUUACUUUCAACUUUACAACGCUAUAUCAAGUUCGCAACUGUACUUGGCUACACCUAUAACAUGAUGCAUUUCUCUUACAGUUUAUUGAAUAUAUUUUUAAGGAUUGAAUGUUCUAUCUGGUACUGUCCUAUCACUCAUUUAACUAUCUUAAUUUGUUCACAAAACUCCUUCUGUAGCUAAGAUUUCUUUGUACAACACAUACUAAUUAUUGCUCUUAUUCUUAAAUCUUAUUUCACUUUAUUCAGCUGCAGGCUGGGUUAAGAUUGUUUUUGUGCCAGAAACAGGCUAGGCAUUGCUCUAACCUUGGCAGCAAAAAUCGUCUAAAUUUCAUAAAUAAGGUAGUGGAAUAUCUUUGAAUAUGUUCAUUUAAAUAUCUUGAGUUCACCUGUAUGGGUUGCUUCUGUGCACACUUUCUUUGAUAUGACUUUCUAGGUGAGAAAUUCUUUCAUGGUAAUGAUGUAUUAUCGAUAUUUACUAUGUUUCUUAGGCCUAUAGGUUUCUUUUUGUGGGAUGCAAUUACGGUACAAUAUGAAUAUGAUCCUCGAGUUGCAUAUUAUUGCCUUUGGACAUAGACAUGUGCCAUGUAGUAUAACAUUUACAAAGAAUGUCUUGGAGAUUGCAAGUAGAUGAUUACGGUUACCCUGUAACCUUAGGAGUAAGAUAUAUAUGAUGAUAGAAUCUAGAGAUGCUUGCUAAUCUAUAACAAUAAGAUCCAGUCACGUGCAAUAUGUUUUAUUCAUAGAAACAGGGAAUCAAUCUGGCUGAAAGUAGUCAUCUUAUGGCGUGGUGUGAAGAGGUUGUUCACAAACCUCUUACGUGCUCCAUCCUUUGUCACUCUGAUUUGAUUUCCUAAUAUCUGGCUUCUCUGAACAGAUGUGUGCAGAUCUGAGAAAGAAGAGGAAUAAUCCAGCAGAACAAUUUAGUGAAUAAGAACAAGUUGGCAUUUCUCUCUUGUGAAUGCAGUCAUGCCUGCCUAUUGAUUUUAUUAUUUGUGCUAAUGCAAACAUGAAUUCUCUAUAGUUCUUGAUGCAGCACCGCUAAUUACUCAAUCUGCAAUACAUGAUUAUUUCUGGGAGAAGUUUAGUGCAUGAAUUAGCAUUCUGUAAAGUUAGUCUAAGCUCAUGUCUCUAGGCCAGGAUAGAUUUCUCAAUAUCAUUUUUGGGGUUGUUUGAACACUGAACAACAUUGCCAGGUCAACCAUUUCUCAUUUCUUUGUCAUAUCUGUAAAACAUUGACACACCAAGUUUACGGGUGGUGUCUCAAUUUUGUCACCAGCCACUUUCACCGACCCGUAAACUAUCUGUCUCGAGGUCUCCCCAACUGUGUUUGGGUUUAGAAAAACAAAGAACUAUUUUGAAGUCAUUUUCGCAUCAGCUACUUUGUAGGUAUUAUGUGCGUUGUCAGGGAUCUAAUAUCAUGUAGUUCCAGGGAUUUCAGAAGGUCUGGUCAGUCCAUUGUUCUUGCCGUGUGUUACUUUUUCUCAUUACUGUGAUCGUCAGUGCUCUUGACAUCGGUUACUUUUUCUCAUUACUGUGGUCGUCAGUGCUCUUGACAUCGGUUACUUUUUCUCAUUACUGUGAUCGUUUGUGCUCUUGACAUCGGUCGUUCUUGCUUUAUGGUUGCCUUCCCAGUGCACGUUUAUUAGUUCUAACAUAUUAAUGUUAAUAUGCUUGAUUGACCAUAUUAUAUAUUUCACUUCACCGGGGUGGUUGGUGGAAGUGUUGGUUAAAACAAUGUCUCUAAUUAACAAGUUUAUACAGUUGAAUCUUCUUGAUUGACUAUUUUGUAGCUUGCUCUUAGUUGUAUAGUAUUAAUUCUUAAAACUGGAUCUCUUAAAAUUAGUUAAAUUGAACGAGUUGUUUCACUGUUUUGAAAUAAGUAGUUUCAUCCGUCACUGUGUCCUGAAUUUAUUCUUACUGCCUUUUAUGACUUAAAUGUAACUACUGGCAUAUAAUCUCAUGGCUUAAAAUCUUAGUUGAGAAGGUAUUAAAAGUUAUAAGAUCUGGAGUUUCCACUAUUUCAUCCAGCGGUAUUCCCAGUAACUGAAUAUUAAGAGCACUGACGAUCAUAGGUUGUACAUUUAGUUACCGGGAAAUGCUUUUAUCUUGCAGGCCAGUUUUACAUUUACUUUUUCAAUAAUGAGAUGACUAUGAACAGAGUAUCAAGUUUUUUGCCUUGGCAUUACUGCUGCUGUGUACGGAUGGUUACUGAAAGAAGAAGGAUUCAAGCGGCAUACCUUCACUUGACAGAUGCUUUAACCGCAAGAACUGUUGUUAUUUUCUUUUCCUUUCCUACAUUGAUGGUAGUUCGCCUUUGAUUCUAGAAGUCGCAAAGGUGUGAAGGGUAGAGAUUUCCAUUGCCGUUGAAUUGGUGGGAUUGUCACCAAGUUAGUGUUGCAGAUUGUUUCUAUUUUAGAGCAAGAAGCCAAAUCAUGUUGUUCAUUGUAAAUC